GGGUUGUGAGGUUAAGCGACUAAGCGUACACGGUGGAUGCCCUGGCAGUCAGAGGCGAUGAAGGACGUGCUAAUCUGCGAUAAGCGUCGGUGAGGUGAUAUGAACCGUUAUAACCGGCGAUUUCCGAAUGGGGAAACCCAGUGUGUUUCGACACACUAUCAUUAACU
rnacentral:rRNA from 1 species